GAUGAACGCUGGCGGCGUGCCUAAUACAUGCAAGUCGAGCGAACAGACGAGGAGCUUGCUCCUCUGAAGUUAGCGGCGGACGGGUGAGUAACACGUGGAUAACCUACCUAUAAGACUGGGAUAACUUCGGGAAACCGGAGCUAAUACCGGAUAAUAUAUUGAACAGAAUGGUUCAAUAGUGAAAGACGGUUUUGCUGUCACUUAUAGAUGGAUCCGCGCCGCAUUAGCUAGUUGGUAAGGUAACGGCUUACCAAGGCAACGAUGCGUAGCCGACCUGAGAGGGUGAUCGGCCACACUGGAACUGAGACACGGUCCAGACUCCUACGGGAGGCAGCAGUAGGGAAUCUUCCGCAAUGGGCGAAAGCUUGACGGAGCAACGCCGCGUGAGUGAUGAAGGUCUUCGGAUCGUAAAACUCUGUUAUUAGGGAAUAACAAAUGUGUAAGUAACUAUGCACGUCUUGACGGUACCUAAUCAGAAAGCCACGGCUAACUACGUG
rnacentral:rRNA from 1 species